rnacentral:rRNA from 1 species
UACAGAGGGUGCAAGCGUUAAUCGGAGUUACUGGGCGUAAAGGGCGCGUAGGCGGUUUAAUAAGAUUGAUGUGAAAGCCCUGGGCUUAACCUAGGAACUGCAUCGAUGACUGUUAAGCUAGAGUAUUGUAGAGGGUAGUGGAAUUUCCGGUGUAGCGGUGAAAUGCGUAGAGAUCGGAAGGAACACCAGUGGCGAAGGCGGCUACCUGGACAAAUACUGACGCUGAGGCGCGAGAGCGUGGGGAGCAAACAGG